AUUGAACGCUGGCGGCAUGCCUUACACAUGCAAGUCGAACGGCAGCGCGGGGCAACCUGGCGGCGAGUGGCGAACGGGUGAGUAAUAUAUCGGAACAUACCCUAGAGUGGGGGAUAACGUAGCGAAAGUUACGCUAAUACCGCAUACGCACUAAGGUGGAAAGUGGGGGAUCUUCGGACCUCAUGCUCAUGGAGUGGCCGAUAUCUGAUUAGCUAGUUGGUGAGGUAAAGGCUCACCAAGGCGACGAUCAGUAGCUGGUUUGAGAGAACGACCAGCCACACUGGAACUGAGACACGGUCCAGACUCCUACGGGAGGCAGCAGUGGGGAAUUUUGGACAAUGGGGGCAACCCUGAUCCAGCAAUGCCGCGUGAGUGAAGAA
rnacentral:rRNA from 1 species